GAAAAAAUCUAUGCUUUCUGGAUCUGGUACUGAUGAACUCUAUGUACCUUCAUUAUGGUACUACAAAGAGCUUGAAUUUCUACAAGACCAAGUGGAGGAAGAAUCGGGGAUCAGUUCAAUAACAGGACAAACGGAAUCAUCAUCAAAACUACCAACAUCAACAUCAACACAAUCACCUUUGCCACCUUCAGCAUCUAUUAGUCCUGUACAAAUAAAAAAGAAGAAAAAGGAGGACUUGCAACAUGACUUAAUGACAUUAGCCAGGGAUCAUUUCAAAAAACCUGAAAAUGAAUAUCAAGUGAUGGCAAGAAACUGGGUCUUUAAACUAGAGCGCAUGUCUGGAGAACAAAGAAGACUGGCAGAAAAAUUCAUAAACGAAAUACUCUUUGAAGGAGAAGAAGGAAACCUUCAUAGACAUUCAGUAGUUAUUAAUCCGUCUCAGCCAGCACUCGCUUGGAACACUCCAUCACCUAUUCCGUACACCCCAUGAGCAAUCAUAUCUGUCCAAUACGGAGCAACCUGUGAUGAUUCAUAUUUCAGACUCGCAAACAAAUGAAAAUAAUCCAACCGAACCUGAAGAUGAUACAGCAGCCAAAUUUAUAAACAAUUUUUAUUCUCUUUAAAUUAUAUAUUUUGUAAUUUUGAAAUAAAAAUCUUACCUGAA